CUUACAAACAAUGCAUCCCUUACACACACACAAACACACAAUGCAUUCCUUACACACACUCAAUGCACCCCUUACACACACUCAAUGCACCCCUUACACACGCACACACUGCAUCCUGUACAUACACAGAAACACACCUUGCAGCCCUUACACAUACAAACUCAGAUUCACACAAUGCAUUCCUUACACACAUAUCAGGACAUCCCCUACACACUCCACCCCCUGUGAACAAACUCAUUGGUGGAACAUGAAGGUGGACCCUGGGACCCAGACCUUGAGCUGUGUAAAGGGCCCCCAAAAAAUGGAGCUGCUUACCGUUCUCCCAGAACAUUGAUUUUUGUGACCACGGUUACAAACAGCCUCCAGAGAGCCUGUUCUACACCAGACCAGUGGAGCCAGACUGCAGCUAGAGCCCAUCAUCAUCC